AGAUUUGAAAGAUAACUCUUAAUUUUUUAAGAAAAAAAUGCAUUAUAUAAAAGCGUGUGGAUUGUGCAUUUGGGUGGCCUUAUAUAGAGUAUGUAGAUUGAUUAUAUAUAAAUUGAGAAAUAGAAAAAAUUCAUAUCAAAAUUAAUUAGAUCAUUAAACCAUUGUUAAUUAAAAAAAUACUUCUUUAAUUAAAAAAAUUUUAACGUUGCUAUUUAAAAUAUUAAAACUCUGAAUCAUAAUUAGUUGGGCAAAUAAG
rnacentral:misc_RNA from 1 species